CUGGGCGAUAAACCGAUUUUAUCGAUUAACUCGAGUGUGUAGUUCACGUCGACUUGUUUGAAUGAAAAUCGGUUUUCUCUUUAACAUCCGCUAACGCUUCCCUCUGGCCUCCCGUAGAAUGAGCUCGGCCCUCCCUCCCCCCGCAUAGAGCGCGCAUUUACCAAAUAGUGAGUGAUAGUAGUGAGUGACAACAUGGCAGCAAGCAGGGAAGAACUCGUUCCGAAGAAAGGCACUGUGUCAUCCGUCAUUUGGAAUUGGUUCGCGUUCGCGAGGUCAGAUUUAGACCAGACAACACCCCGCUGCAAAGUCUGUAUGAAGUCUGUUGCUAGCAAAGGCAGCAGUACGACAAAUUUACUGCAGCACCUCAAACAAAAGCAUCCUGUCGAAUGGGAGAAAUGUUGCGCGCAGCGGAAUGAAAAAGACAGCAGCACCCCAAGCACCACACGCACAGCCGCUAAAAUACAGUCCACCGUACCACAAACGUUUUCAAACUGCAUCCCAUAUGACAAGAAUUCGGCCCGCUGGAAAGCCAUAACAGAUGCGAUUGCUAUGUAUAUAGCAAAGGAUAUGGUGCCAAUAUAUACGGUGGAAAAGCCGGGGUUCAUUAACAUGAUUAAAGUUUUGGACCCCAGGUAUGUGCUACCUAGCCGAAAGUACUUCUCCGACGUUGCCUUGCCCAAUCUAUAUAAUAGCACAAGACAACGGGUCAAAAAAGAGUUGGACGAUGUGUCGUCUUACUCUGCCACCACAGAUUUAUGGUCAAGUCGGACGAUGCAACCGUACAUGAGUCUCACUGUGCACUUCAUUAACAAUGACUGGAUUCUGCGGAGCGUCUGCCUUCAAACGGCAUACUUUCCAGAGGACCACACGGGUGAAAUUGUAGCCCAGGGGCUAAGAGAUGCCCUCAACUCAUGGAACCUUGCCGAAGACCGACUCAUUUGUAUGACUACUGACAGUGGCAGCAACAUGAUUAAAGCUCUGAAGGACAAUGCGUGGCCUAACCUGCAGUGCUUUGGACACAGAUUGCACAAUGCUGUCGAGAAUGGUGUGAAGGACCCACGGAUCAAUCGUGCUGUUGGGGUUUGUAAAAAGGCUGUGUCUGCCUUUUCUUACAGCUGGAAAAAAAGAAGAGACAUGAGCGAAGUACAGGCAGAGCUUGGUCUACCCACUCAUCAGCUGAUAACAGAGUCCCCGACUAGAUGGGGUUCACGCCAAAGAAUGAUUGAGAGAUUUCUCGAACAGGAGAAGGCUCUAGUCCGUGUCCUGGGUUCGGACAAGAAAAGUCGCCAUCUUGUGCCCACUUGGCAAGAUUUGGAUGUGUUGGAGUCGGUAAAUAAAGCUGUGAAACCACUCCAAGAGUUCACUGAUGCACUCUCUGGGGAAUCCUAUGUCAGUGUUUCAUACAUUAAACCAGUGCUCCAUCUGUUCAAAACCAGUCUCCUAGAGCCAGGGGAGGAAGACACAGAGCUCACCAAAAUAAUAAAAGGGAAUGUAAUGCGGUACCUUGACGACAAAUACAGUGACCCUGUAAAAGAUGAGCUCUUGGACAUGGCCUCACUGGUUGACCCAAGGUUCCGCACAACCUACAUUGACCCAGACAAGGUGGAAGAAGUCAAAAAAAGAGUUGUUGCUGAGCUGAUGGCUCUACCUGCUCCCUCCAACAACAGUACACCACAGCAGCCUGGCACAGCUGUGCAGGUGCGCCAAGAAGAUGCACAGCCUCCACCCAAGAAAAAGAUGACUUUAGCGGCCUUCUUCAAACAGAAUGUAGUGUCAUCUCCCAACCAGUCAGAGGCAGAAAAGAUAGAGACUGAGCUGAAAUCUUACUUAUUGACCCCUGAAGUAGACCCAGACACCAAUCCUCUUGAGUGGUGGAAGCGCCACCAACCAAAUUUUCCUAGGCUAAGUGUCCUGGCAAAAAGAUACCUCUCAAUCCCAGCAACAAGUGCACCCUCAGAGAGGGUUUUCAGUGUGGGGGGGGGGCAUUGUUACAUGCCAUCGAGCAUGUCUAAAGCCAGAGGUGGUAGAUAGGCUUGUCUUCCUGGCUAAGAAUGUUUAGAAAUGUUUAGAAAAAAGCACCCUAUGCUGUCAUGUACAGAUAACUGAUGCUGUUGAAUGUUAUGUUACAUAAGGUUACAUGUCAUGUUUUGUGUCAUGUACAUGUCAUGUUUUCACAGUUUACAAUGGCAGGGUCUGCCAUAUUGCCUUUUUGGCUAAUUGUUGUUGAUUGCACUUUAACUCCAAGGGAGAAAUCAAAAUAAACAAGUAUUUUUGGAACUAUUUCUUUUGCAUCUGAAUUUGGGGGCUGUUGAGAAAAUCGAUUUAAAUCGUAAAUCGGAUUUUUUGUGAAAAAAUCGGGGAUUUUUUUUUUAGGCCAUAUCGCCCA